CCAGAACAAGGCAGUUACUGGUCAUCUAUUAACUGUCAGGAACUGUGCCAGGUACUUCCCAGAUUCCUCAACUGCCAUCUUCCAGAUGGAUGGAGGGAGUUGGGCAAGGCCAGCUGGGCCCUGGCUGAAGCAGGGAAUGGAAGAGCAGACCCCAGACCCAUUCUGGUGCCCAUUUCAUCAACACUGGCUUUUGUCUGCUUUUGUCUCAUGCUCAGCCAAGCAGAGGCCAGAGGAAGGCAGAGAAGAUGAGGAGACCAGCUAAGUUGCAUAGUGCAGAAUAAUGCACUGCCUUGCAGCCACCCAGACCAGAGUUCAAAUCCCAGCUCUGCUGUGUGCUCUUACUAGGUGAUCUUGGAGAAGCUGCCUGACCCCUCCAGGCCUUGGAACUCUAAUCUAUAAAAUGGUGGUGUUAAUAACCGUCAUCUCCAGUAUCUGUGACGCUGUGGGUUAAGUAACAUCCGCUCUGGCUGUGGGAUCCUAGACAUGUUAUUUUGCCUCCCUCUGCUUCAGUGAACCCAUCUUUAAAAUGGGAAUGAUAACUCUUACUCAUAGAGGUGGAGUAAGGAUUAAAUCCAUUAAAUGAAUCAAUCUACACAAAGUACUUAGAACAACAUCUGGCCUGUCCCAAGAGCUUGGCACACCCCCCACGCCCCACCUCCCUCCUGCGGUCAGGGGCCCCCUAGGCAGGGAUAGUCUCUUGGUGUCUCUUUCUUCUUAAGUGGAAGAUGGCCCCAGGACAGAGGGAGCAGCGAGGGCCUGGAUGCCCUGGAGGAGUGAAGAACCAUAGAGAUUGGUUUCCAAACUCAAAUAGUACUUAGUGAGCACCAGCCCUGUGCCAGGCACCGGGCUGGACACGCUGGCAGCAUUUCCUCUGAUCCAAGUGCAACCCUGAGGGGCACGGUUCCCAGCAUUUCUGGAGGGGAACCCAAGAGUCAGAGAUGUCAGGGACAGCCAACUGCCCUUGGAGAAGCGGAAUAGAAGGAAUUCGAAACCAUGACCUGUGACUCUGUGUCCCCUAUUCUGCCUUCAUCAUGCCACGCUCUUCAUGUCUCAAAUAGAAGUUCCUGCAGAGGAGGUGUCAGGCUCAGCGAGCAAAGCUGGGCCCUGUGGAAUCACUGAAUAGCAGAUUUCAAGUCACUAUAAGCACCCUGUCUAACAGUCCAAGCUUCCCCAAGCUGAGAAGUGCUGCCUUAGGGGGAAUGGGCCCCCUGUCCCCAGUCGUGGCAUCUCAGAAGCUCUUCCUGGCUCCCUGGAUUGGUGUGAGUUCCCUGCUAGGUCAUCCCACCCUAGAGUUCAUCACACUGUGUGGUAACUGAUGGAUCACAGUUACAGUCUGAAAGAGCUUCACUCUCCUAGCGGCAGCAGACCUGGAAUGUCCCAGUGCUGUGGGAAGCCGGCUCAGCGCCUGAGAGUCUCCAUGCUGCACGACCUGGGAAGUGAGCGCCCUUUGAAGGGAAUCACAGCCAAAUCAGUUUUCCCUGUUUGUAAAAUGGGGUGCAGAGCUGAGGAGAGUUGGCUAUCAUCACACUCCCUGCAGAGCAGUGGGCAGCUGACUGGGAAGCCCCGACACAGGCAAAAAACUCAAGGCCUAAAGGAGUGAAAUAGAAGAUCCAGGACCUGGGUGGCUUGAUAAGGAGACAUGAGCACCAAGCUUGUGGUCAGAAGAAGUGGAUUCAAGAGCUAGACAGUUUAGAGAGAUGUUGACAAUAACGCCAGAAACCCAGGCUGAGAACAAUAACCUUGGUGGGCACAGAUGCUCCCUCUUAGCUGUGGGCUUAGGGGCAGUGAAGGCCCCAUUAUCAGGCUGAGGAGACCAACCAAGCUUGCAUGCAGACGCUCUCCGUUCCUGGGCCGGAUCCCGGGAGACCCUGGCAUACAGGGCUUUCUUUCAGGCAGUAACCAACACUGGGGGCUCAGGCCACAGGCACGCCUCACUCAGCUCUCCCCCGCCCUUGCUGCCUCAGGGGCUGGGAGGACAGAAAGCUCCUUGCGGGCAGGCACUUCCCCAGGAAAGGCAGACCGGUGGAGUCUGGAUGCAGAGCUUUCUGCCAACAGAACUUCCCACGGGCAGCCUGAAAUGAGCAGCAAUUACACGUGGCCUCUAGGGCCACAUUUGAUAAGAAGAGCUGCAAUUUACUGUGUCCCUACUAUGUACGAAGCACGUUAAAUUUGUUAUUUACUUAGCAACUAUUCUCUGAGUGCCUUGAAGUGCCAGGCCCUGGCUGGGGACCAGGGGUACAUGGCCCCUGCCCCUAUG
ensembl:lncRNA